UUCCGGUUGAUCCUGCCGGAGGUUACUGCUAUCGGAGUUCGAUUAAGCCAUGCGAGUCUAAAGGUUUCUUCGGAAACCUUGGCGGACUGCUCAGUAACACGUGGAUAACCUACCCUUGGGACUGGAAUAACCCCGGGAAACUGGGGAUAAUACCGGAUAGAUCAGGGACGCUGGAAUGCGCCUUGAUCCAAAGCUCCGGCGCCCAAGGAUGGGUCUGCGGCCUAUCAGGUUGUAGUGGGUGUAACGUACCUACUAGCCGACGACGGGUACGGGUUGUGAGAGCAAGAGCCCGGAGAUGGAUUCUGAGACACGAAUCCAGGCCCUACGGGGUGCAGCAGGCGCGAAACCUUUACAAUGUGCGAAAGCAUGAUAAGGGAACUCCGAGUGCCAGUAUCUAAUACUGGCUGUCCCUUGUGCCUAAAACGCGCAAGAUAGCAAGGCUGGGUAGACCGGUGCCAGCCGCCGCGGUAACACCGGCGGCCCGAGUGGUAGCCGCUAUUAUUGGGUCUAAAGGGUCCGUAGCCGGUUUGAUAAGUCCUCUGGGAAAUCUGGUUGCUUAACAAUCAGACUGCCAAGGGAUACUGUUGGACUUGAGACCGGGAGAGGUAAGAGGUACUUCAGGGGUAGGAGUGAAAUCUUGUAAUCCCUGGGGGACCAUCUGUGGCGAAGGCGUCUUACCAGAACGGGUCUGACGGUGAGGGACGAAAGCUGGGGGCGCAAACCGGAUUAGAUACCCGGGUAGUCCCAGCCGUAAACGAUGCUCGCUAUGUGUCAGGUACGGUGUGACCGUAUCUGGUGCCGUAGGGAAGCCGUGAAGCGAGCCACCUGGGAAGUACGGUCGCAAGACUGAAACUUAAAGGAAUUGGCGGGGGAGCACUACAACGGGUGGAGCCUGCGGUUUAAUUGGAUUCAACGC
rnacentral:rRNA from 1 species